ACCCGCCGCGGCCGCUUCUGCCGCCAGCCGAGACCGCGCCGCCCCCGCCGCGCCCGCUGUGCUCGCCCUAUUGGCUGUCGGGAUUCAGACCCCGCCCUUCAGCCCCGUCCGCGCUCCGGAUUGGACAGACCAACGCAGAGGCGGCACGCCCCCAAGCACGCUCAAGGGGACUUCCCUGGGUCUGCCUUUGCCCUUCUCCAAACAAAAGAUUUUCCAUACGUCACAGAAGCACCUCUGUGUCCUGGGCUGCAGCCGGGAUGGAAGACAGAGCCAGCCUCUCAGAGCCUAGACACAGAAGGCCAGGUGCCUGUCUGCACCACCCACCUCCCAGCAGCCCCUGCUGGCUGGCGCAACAGAAGGGAAGACGAGAGCGGUCAGGGAAGGAGACGUCAGAGCAGGGCACAUCGGGUUCUGGGAGAAGCCAGAGAUAAGCACAAUCUGGACGAUACUUGAGAGGCCAGCAACGGGAAUGUGAAGGGUUGGUGUUCCAGGACACGAUCCUCCUUCAAGGAGCUCAGCUUGAAAGACCAGCUGCGUCCAGAAGCCACGCCAGACUGCCCACAUCAGAAAGGAUGGAACACCUUUAUUCCUGCUGCUCUGGCCUGGAGUCUGCACUGUUGGUUCCCAGAUGUCUGGGAACUUUAGGAGGAUGUGCAUCCUGUGAGUUCGAGGCCAGCCGGGGAUACAGAGGAGGAUGUGCAUCAAGGUCUUGAAAGGUACCGAAAAAGAAAAAAAGUCACUGGAGCUGAGCUCAUUCAGUAUAGUACUUGCCAUGCAAGCAUAUGACCUGAGUUUGAACCACUGAACUUGGAUGAAGAAAAAUUGAAAGUAUGGCAUGGUGA